rnacentral:lncRNA from 1 species
UUAUAAUUGAGCAUAGAUCCCAUGAGAAUGUCAUUCUCAAAUUAACUAAUAGUUCAAGACUGAUAUGGACCUUUCAGAAAAGGCCAUAUAGAAAAGAUCCUUAGGCUGCCCCCUCAGUGUCAUGAGUAAAGACACAGACCAAGAUAAUGGAUUCAAGUCUCCUGGCUUGCAUGAGGCAGGUUUCUCCUGGGUGGAAUAGUAAUGCCAUGGAUAUCCAGUGUCCCUCAAAGUCAGAACAUUGGGUUCUUAAGACAAAGCAGCUCUAGCCACUGAACUGUGACUUGGUAAAUUCACUAACAAUUCUGCCCUCUCUCCCUUCCCCCAGGCACUUUCAUUUACUGACAAGCCCUUUGGCUCUGACCUCUUGAGGUUACAAAACUGAAUGGAGACCAGAACACAUCACCAGAGUAUUCUACUGCAGCCCAAACCAGCAAGUAUCAAGACUUCAAGAGGUGUGAGAGGUCACCUGACACAACCAGCUGGUUUAGGAAGGAACCUGAGGCCUAGGGAAGGUCCCGUGGUCUUGAUUGUCAAUGAUGACUGCCUGCUCUCCACCAGUGCCCCCGGUGCUCUCAGCACACACAGCACCUGAAAACAAGACAUCACUUGGUCAAAGUGGAGAAGUCGCCACAUUUAGCAGAUCCUGGGAAGAAAUAUGAAUAACUUAUUUCAGUUGUUGGAAAGCCUUUCAUCUAGCAUGUUCAAAUGGAAGGUGAAAAAUGGGACUGUGUGUUUUCUGAGUCACACUGGAUUUCCCCUUAUCCCCAUUUCUGAGCCUGCUUAAUGAUUUGCAGGAGCAGUUUAAUGGAGCCCUCACUAGUGGUGGUAGCAGUGCUAGAAUUUUUUACUGAGGUCCCCAGGAAGAAUAAACACAUUUCCUCUUUAGUUGAGUGAAAUCUCUUCACAUAUCUUCAAGUUUGGCAUUCACAAGCUACAAAGAGACUAAAGUGCCCUUAGCUUUCUCAAGCGUCCAACUAACAUCCAACAGGGCCAAGUUUUCUGCCAAGUUCUCAGUGGGUCACGACCUCAUUUUUCACGAUGGUAACAUGAAUGAACUGGAAGGAUAAUGAGAUGACACAUUUUAGUGAUUAACUUCAUUUAUAUUUGUAUUAUCCUUUU